GACGAACGCUGGCGGCGUGCCUAAUACAUGCAAGUAGGACGAGUUGCGAACGGGUGAGUAACGAGUAGGAACCUACCUAUUAGAGGGGGAUAACAAUGGGAAACGAUAGCUAAUACCGACUACUCGUAGAUGGACCUGCGUGGUAUUAGCUAGUAGGUAGGGGAAUGGCCUACCUAGGCAACGAUACAUAGCCGACCUGAGAGGGUGAUCAGUCACACUGGAACUGAGACACGGUCCAGACUCCUACGUGAGGCAGCAGUGGGGAAUAUUGGACAAUGGGCGAAAGCCUGAUCCAGCCAUGCCGCGUGUGUGAAGAAGGUCUUCGGAUUGUAAAGCACUUUAAGUUGGGAGGCGUUACCCACAGAAUAAGCACCGGCUAACUUCGUGCCAGCAGCCGCGGUAAUUC
rnacentral:rRNA from 1 species